rnacentral:lncRNA from 1 species
GGGCAUCUUUUCUGCUGCGACAUGUGUACCCGUCAGCCAACGUGUGAUGAGCUCUCACGUUCAGACCUUGGUCUGUCAGCUGUCACCACUCCCUUAUCUCAUGCUGGAAAGGCACACCAAAAUACAGAACUUUCAGAAAGGCACCAUCGGUCUUGAGCUGGAAGCCCGCCUUUUAGGUUUUGAAGAGAGAAGAGGUGGAGGAGGAUGUGUGCUCCAUGAAGACGUGUUCACAGACUCUAACUUGCUAUGGAGUGGCCAGAGGGCUCGACGAAGAUGCCAACUGCCUUCAGAUGUCUCCAGCUCCUAUCACGGCUGUGUGAAGCUAUAGGCUGUGGUAAAGACCAACCAGGGGAGAACAAGCAAAGGCCAUUUAUUCAGAGGCUGCUGUAUCAGGGGAGUCAGCCACCCACACAUGUCUUAUGGAAAGCUGCUUCUGCCCCAACCCUGUUUUAGCUAGUCUUCAGUUUAAUCUGAUAUCCGGUACCACCUCCUACCCCAUUUCUACCCAUCUUAGGUUCAUUGGCUGGGACGCCUGUGACAAAAGACAGAUUAACAAGAGAAAGGUACACAAAUUUAUUUAAUAUGUGUUAUGUGACACAGGAGCCUUCAAAAGGAAAUGAAGUUCUGAAGAAACAGCUAAACCUGAAUGGUUUUUGUCGUAGAUUUGAGAAGAAUGAAGCAUUGUGGGAAAAUAUGACAAAGUAAAGAAAAAGAAUGAGAGAAAUGUAAUAAAUCGGGGA